rnacentral:piRNA from 1 species
UUCCAAGGUCAUAUUUUCCUUCUGAGGAAG